AGAGUUUGAUCCUGGCUCAGAAUCAACGCUGGCGGCGUGCCUAACACAUGCAAGUCGAACGCGAAAGUCCCGCAAGGGAUCGGUAGAGUGGCAAACGGGUGAGUAACACGUGGGUGACCUGCCUUCGAGUGGGGGAUAACGUCCCGAAAGGGACGCUAAUACCGCAUAACAUGCCGCCUUUUAAGAGGUGGACAUCAAAGCUGGGGAUCGCAAGACCUAGCGCUGGAAGAGGGGCCCGCGUCCGAUUAGCUAGUUGGUGGGGUAAUGGCUCACCAAGGCAACGAUCGGUAGCCGGCCUGAGAGGGCGGACGGCCACACUGGGACUGAGACACGGCCCAGACUCCUACGGGAGGCAGCAGUGGGGAAUUGUUCGCAAUGGGCGCAAGCCUGACGACGCAACGCCGCGUGGAGGAUGAAGACCUUCGGGUCGUAAACUCCUUUCGAUCGAGACGAACGGCCUCCGGGUGAACAAUCCGGAGGAGUGACGGUACCGAGAGAAGAGC
rnacentral:rRNA from 1 species